GUGAAUCAUCAAAUUUUUGAACGCAAAUUGCACUCUCUUCGGAGAGUAUGCCUGUUUGAGUGUCAGCCUAAAAAAAAUCGUCAUCGUUGCUUUUUCGCGGUGGCGUUCGUCUGAACUGGGGUUAUCUUAAAUCUUUGGUUUAAGCGUCUUAAACUUUUCUCUACGAUUCCAUGAAUGUUUCCUAGAUU
rnacentral:misc_RNA from 1 species